CCAAUAGCAUAUAUUAAAGUUGUUGCAGUUAAAAAGCUCGUAGUUGAAUUUCGGGAUCAAUACGUCGGUCGUGCCUCUGGUAUGUACUGGUGUUAUUGAUUCCUCCUUUCUGAUGAACCAUGAUGUCAUUAAUUUGGUGUUGUGGGGAGUCAGGACUGUUACUUUGAAAAAAUUAGAGUGUUUAAAGCAGGCCUACGCUUGAAUACAUUAGCAUGGAAUAAUGAAAUAGGACGUUCGAACCUAUUUUGUUGGUUUCUAGGAUCAACGUAAUGAUUAAUAGGGAUAGUUGGGGGCAUUAGUAUUCAAUUGUCAGAGGUGAAAUUCUUGGAUUUAUUGAGGACUAACUACCGCGAAAGCAUUUGCCAAGGAUGUUUUCAUUAAUCAAGAACGAAAGUUAGGGGAUCGAAGACGAUCAGAUACCGUCGUAGUCUUAACCAUAAACUAUGCCGACUAGGGAUCGGAUGAUGUUAAUUUUUUAAUGACUCAUUCGGCGCCUUACG
rnacentral:rRNA from 1 species